rnacentral:rRNA from 1 species
UCAAUAACUGGGGUGAAGUCGUAACAAGGUAGCCGUAUCGGAAGGUGCGGCUGGAUCACCUCCUUU